rnacentral:rRNA from 1 species
CAUAGGUUAAUGAGGCGAACCGGGGGAACUGAAACAUCUAAGUACCCCGAGGAAAAGAAAUCAACCGAGAUUCCCCCAGUAGCGGCGAGCGAACGGGGAGCAGCCCAGAGCCUGAAUCAGUGUGUGUGUUAGUGGAAGCGUCUGGAAAGGCGCGCGAUACAGGGUGACAGCCCCGUACACAAAAAUGCACAUGCUGUGAGCUCGAUGAGUAGGGCGGGACACGUGGUAUCCUGUCUGAAUAUGGGGGGACCAUCCUCCAAGGCUAAAUACUCCUGACUGACCGAUAGUGAACCAGUACCGUGAGGGAAAGGCGAAAAGAACCCCGGCGAGGGGAGUGAAAAAGAACCUGAAACCGUGUACGUACAAGCAGUGGGAGCACAGAGCAAUCUGUGUGACUGCGUACCUUUUGUAUAAUGGGUCAGCGACUUAUAUUCUGUAGCAAGGUUAACCGAAUAGGGGAGCCGAAGGGAAACCGAGUCUUAACUGGGCGUUAAGUUGCAGGGUAUAGACCCGAAACCCGGUGAUCUAGCCAUGGGCAGGUUGAAGGUUGGGUAACACUAACUGGAGGACCGAACCGACUAAUGUUGAAAAAUUAGCGGAUGACUUGUGGCUGGGGGUGAAAGGCCAAUCAAACCGGGAGAUAGCUGGUUCUCCCCGAAAGCUAUUUAGGUAGCGCCUCGUGAAUUCAUCUCCGGGGGUAGAGCACUGUUUCGGCAAGGGGGUCAUCCCGACUUACCAACCCGAUGCAAACUGCGAAUACCGGAGAAUGUUAUCACGGGAGACACACGGCGGGUGCUAACGUCCGUCGUGAAGAGGGAAACAACCCAGACCGCCAGCUAAGGUCCCAAAGUCAUGGUUAAGUGGGAAACGAUGUGGGAAGGCCCAGACAGCCAGGAUGUUGGCUUAGAAGCAGCCAUCAUUUAAAGAAAGCGUAAUAGCUCACUGGUCGAGUCGGCCUGCGCGGAAGAUGUAACGGGGCUAAACCAUGCACCGAAGCUGCGGCAGCGACGCUGAUGCGUUGUUGGGUAGGGGAGCGUUCUGUAAGCCUGCGAAGGUGUGCUGUGAGGCAUGCUGGAGGUAUCAGAAGUGCGAAUGCUGACAUAAGUAACGAUAAAGCGGGUGAAAAGCCCGCUCGCCGGAAGACCAAGGGUUCCUGUCCAACGUUAAUCGGGGCAGGGUGAGUCGACCCCUAAGGCGAGGCCGAAAGGCGUAGUCGAUGGGAAACAGGUUAAUAUUCCUGUACUUGGUGUUACUGCGAAGGGGGGACGGAGAAGGCUAUGUUGGCCGGGCGACGGUUGUCCCGGUUUAAGCGUGUAGGCUGGUUUUCCAGGCAAAUCCGGAAAAUCAAGGCUGAGGCGUGAUGACGAGGCACUACGGUGCUGAAGCAACAAAUGCCCUGCUUCCAGGAAAAGCCUCUAAGCAUCAGGUAACAUCAAAUCGUACCCCAAACCGACACAGGUGGUCAGGUAGAGAAUACCAAGGCGCUUGAGAGAACUCGGGUGAAGGAACUAGGCAAAAUGGUGCCGUAACU